GACGAACGCUGGCGGCGUGCUUAACACAUGCAAGUCGAACGGAAAGGCCCUGCUUUUGUGGGUUGCUGGGGGGGGGACGGGUGGAGAAAAAGGGGGGUAACUGGCCCUGAACUUUGGAAUACCUUCGGGAACCGGGGGUAAUUCCGGGUUGGAGCUUCUGCCUGCAGGUGGGGGGUGGGAAGGUUUCGCCGGUUGGGGAUGGACUCGCGGCUUAUCAGCUUGUUGGUGGGGUAGUGGCUUACCAAGGCUUUGACGGGUAGCCGGCCUGAGAGGGUGACCGGCCACAUUGGGACUGAGAUACGGCCCAGACUCCUACGGGAGGCAGCAGUGGGGAAUAUUGCACAAUGGGCGGAAGCCUGAUGCAGCAACGCCGCGUGCGGGAUGACGGCCUUCGGGUUGUAAACCGCUUUCGCCUGUGACGAAGCGUGAGUGACGGUAAUGGGUAAAGAAGCACCGGCUAACUACGUG
rnacentral:rRNA from 1 species